rnacentral:rRNA from 1 species
AUACGUAGGGUGCGAGCGUUAAUCGGAAUUACUGGGCGUAAAGGGUGCGCAGGCGGUUGUACAAGACGGAUGUGAAAUCCCCGGGCUUAACCUGGGAAUGGCAUUCGUGACUGUACGGCUAGAGUGUGUCAGAGGGGGUAGAAUUCCACGUGUAGCAGUGAAAUGCGUAGAUAUGUGGAGGAAUACCGAUGGCGAAGGCAGCCCCCUGGGAUAACACUGACGCUCAUGCACGAAAGCGUGGGGAGC